rnacentral:lncRNA from 1 species
UAUAUAUUUUUUUUCUUAUCCCCCGGAUACUUUUAGUUAGGGUUCAGGCCACCCAAAAAUUAUCCGCCUUUAUCCACCUCCAGGGGCAUAAAUUAUCCGGGCGCAUAAAUUAUCCGCCUCCAUAUCCACCAGCCAAACACCGAGAGAAAAAAAUUAUCCGGGGAGAAAAGUUAUCCCCUCCUUAUCCGGUAGCGAAACGGCCCCUUAAGGUAGAAGAAGAAAAAGAACACACUUGUAUUGGUGAGAGAUUGAGAUAGCCUCUUUAAAAGACUUGUUUCGAGUAUUCGUUUAAUUCCUUAGUGAAAACUUUGAUCGUGUGGCUGCACGUAAGUUUCAGCCGAACCAUGUGAAUCGUUUUCCCUCAUGUGUGUGUAUGAUUGUUUUCCUUUCUUUAUUCGUUUAUUCAUAUUCGCUUUAUAUUCUUUUCAUAAUCAAAGUUAUAAAUUAUCUUGUGUUUGUAACGCUUUGGCACAACAAUCACCAUUUAAGCGUAGGGUCCACCUUUAUGUGAGUAUAUUAAGUAAUUAAUGAAAUAUCUUUAGAAUUAUUCUUGAUGUGGGGGUAAAGAUAUUCACAUAUUAAUAAUUCAAGUCCCGCUCCUCGCCAAGGGAAAUGGACCUCCGCCAACAUCUCAAUCCCAUGAAGUCCAUCUCCGCAUUUAAAUGCCAACGCUCUCCUAACCCUCUUUGAUCAAAAGAAAAGGGGUAAACAGUCCACAACGUCUCGCAUGGGACCUCGCCAAGGUUAUCUCACAACUGAACUCGCAGAAGCACCAUCGAGUGCCGUCCAGCUCACACCAAGAGCCAUGGGUACUGUCUCCUCCUCGCCUUUGGGCUGGUACAAUACUUUGGAAUCUCCAAUCUCACCCACCAUAAUCCUUCAGAAUCCUAUCUAUCCAUGCGAAAACUAUCCUUUGGCGAAGAUCUGUCUCCAGUACGACACCACCUAUAAACGGGAUGCCCUCCCAUAUGGCAAUCUCCCCAAUUAUGUCUCCUAAACCCCGAGAUAUCUUUCCAUACUCAUCCUUCCGAGGAUCUCGCCUUGAUCCAUGGACACAGCCCACUACUCCAUCUAUAAAAAGCCGUUCCCCUUAAACAAAGGUAUGCCUCAAUACACUCCACAAUUCUCUUCAGAGCUAUCUAUUGGCUGUCAAAACACCUUGGUCUGAUCUCCACGCCGGAGGAGUUUGAGCGUCCUCGACCCGGCCGUUACUUUUUGUUCGUCUGUGCAGGGUCGCCCUUAAGUAUUCGAGGUCGUGCCGAGGAGACCGAGACAAGAUUGACUGUGGUGCUCGCACCAGUUUGUUACCACAACAGUUUGGCGGUCUAUGGGGAACCGACAGUUCUCUAUGCACCGCGCUAGCCGCAACCUACCAGACAAGUGCUAGUAGCCCCCAGGGUAACAAUCCCAUCCUAUGGCCAAAUACAGCCCAAGUUCCAGAUCUAGAAGGCCCCACCGGAGAUACACGAUAUGGCGGAGCAGAGAGGAUAAUGAACGAGAAUAAGGGUGCCUAAUGAAAACUCCUCGAUGCUGUCAACCCCCCACUUACAGCAGCACCACCCGUCCUUGAUACGAGCGAUAUCGCCACUCGAAUCGUUCAGAGAUCGUUCUCGAAAUAUCAGUGCUGAUCAAGUGGGCGGGGGAGACCCAGCCCAAAGCUCGUCCUUACGUAGAAAAGAGUCCUCAGAAUCUAGUAAAAACUCAACCAGAUGAGAAGGGGGAGGAGUCCUCAUUAAAGACAUCGGAUCAGGGCACGAAACAAAUCGACCUGCAAAAGUUCGAGAUUGGACGCACGGCUCGGACGCCAUCAACACCUGGAGUAGGUGCCCCAGUAAUGUGGACACACUAAUUAAACAGAAAGAGCCGCCGUUCACAGAGAGGAUAUGGGAGGGCCCGAAUUUCAUCAAAGUUCAGCUCCCCGCCCAGCUCGGUAUAUAGAAGGAAAGACAGAGAUGGACCACCUAGACUCGUACAAAGAGCCUAAUGUCGCUCCAGGGUUGUCGGACGAGAAUUAUGUGCAAAAGCGUUCUCCGCCACUUUGAAGGGACGCCAGGUCAUGGUUUCGAAAACUGUCGCCAGGGACCAUUGAUUCUUUUGCGAUCUCAGUUGGACUCUUCGUCGCCAAUUUCAGAGCUGCAAAAAUCGCCAAAAAAGGAAAUGCUUCUCACAUUUCAACCUUCAUCAAAAAGAAAUGCGAGCUUGAAAGAUUUCGUCAAACGAUUCAAUCAGCUAUUUAGAAGUCGAGGAUCCCAGACGACAAAGAAAAUCAUGGCAAUGAUGGAAGGACUCCGACCUGGUCCACUAUUCGACUCCUCUCUCCAAAACGUUCCGAAAAUUUAUCCCCGUCCAGAGUAAGCAGACAGUACAUCGAACAGAGGAGUUGGCCGAUGGUAAACGAAGGCGAAGAGGAAAAGAUGACCAUAAGAGGGGAAAGAGCCUGAUAUGAGGCAGAUUGAUUAUAAGGAGGAGACGAGGUACAAAAGACCUGACCUAGAUCCCAAACGGUCUAGCAAUAGGCGUCCCGCCCCCGCAUCGACCGACUGAGUUUACUGCCACCACUCAACGCCAAGGUCGCCCAGUCCUCGGAAAUAUUAAACACGAAGAAUUCGUACAAAUGGCCCGGAAAGAUCAAAACUGACACCUAAAAGAGGAAUAAGAACAAAUAUUAUGAAUUCCACCGGGACCACGACACAAAUACGAGGACUGUUUUCAACUAAAAGAAACGAUUGCCUGACUUAUUAAAAGGGGUUACCUGAGGAAAUAUGCGCUAAUCGCCCACCGCACCAACUCCCUAGAAGGAAGGUACAGAGACAAUAGACCAACUGUGGGCGAAAACAAACAAUCCACGGAGGUUUCGGACGAGCGGUCUAUUCAAAUUCAUCCAGGAAAAGGCAUGCCAAAGUGCCCAUGACCGGCCGAGAGGAAGUCUACCACCCUCCUCGCAUUCGUUGCUGACAAAACACCCAUCACAUCAGCAAUGAUGAUUUGAGGAAGGCAUGCACUUACCCACGUGAUGCCCUGGUGGUCUAGGCCGUCAUCUCCAAUUUCAAAGUCCAGAGGAUCUUGAUCGACAAUGGGAGCUCGGCGGAUAUCUUGUUCAUCUCAGCGUUUGAAAAAAUGAAAGUGGGCCGGACAAGUUGAACUCCUUCCAUUACACCCCUGAUCGGGUUGGAGGAAAUACGACGCACCCCUCUGGGAUGGAUCAAAACUUACACUAACCCUGGGAAACCGAACCACAUCAGACCACCGUAUGGUAGGAUUUAUCGUGGUAGUUGCCCCUCGCCUUAGUAACGCCAUCCUGGGGCGACUACGCUGGAGAAUCAAGGCGAUUCACUUCUACCUACACCUGAAGAUGAAUUCUCCCACUGACUGGGAUAGGCGAAGUAAAGGGCGAUCAGAAAGUGGCUAGGCAAUGUUGACUCGGCCAUGAAGGUGGAACUUCCAUUCAGUCCGCCAAUGCAAUCACAGAAGCGGGCGUGAACACGGGGCUAUUAAGAGAUGAGAUAGAACAGCUUAUCCUAGAAGACCCCAGAGAGAAACAGGAAUACCAAACCUCUCGAAGAAGUCGUCCCAAUCUCCAUCACCCAAAACUACCCAGACGUCAAGUCAUGACGACAGAGCUCACGAGAAUGCGUAUCACUUAAUCGAUUCUUAAAAAGGAAUUCUGACUGUUUGCAUGGUCACAAGGCCACGUCUCUGGCAUCGACCCAGAGUCACCAUGCAUUAAGUGUUCAACAAGCCUGAAUACUCCCCAAAUCUGCCAGAAACGGAGGAAGUUCGCCCCUGAACGCUGAAAGUUGAAGACGAAUAGCAAAUCAUCAAAGUAAUGUUUUCCGAGAAGCCCAGUAUCCGGAUUGGCUCGCCAAUGUCGAUCGCCCCAAAAAAGGAGGAACAGUGGAGGGUGUGAGUAGAUUCACCGAAUCAACAGACUUGUGCCGAAAGACAGUUUUCCUGCCUAAAAUCGAUUGAUAAUCGACGCACCUCCAAGCAUGAGCUCUUGAGUCUUUAUGGAUGCCUUCUCAGGUUAUCAUCAGAAUCAAAUUGUAUCCUCCUGACAUGAGAAAACUUCCUUUAUCAUGGAACGGGGAGCUAUAUGACUACAAAGUCAUGCCGUUUGGUUUAAGAAACGCCGGGGCAACAUACAGAGACUGGUCAAAAAGAUGUCAAUGCCACAAAUUGGAAAAAACUAUGAAAGUGUACAUAGAUGAAUGCUGGUUAAGAGUAUCCAAGCACACAACCACAUCGCCCCACCUGAAGAAAACAUUCGACAUCUACGGGGUGGACACGAAGAUGUUAAAUCCCCUCUAAAUGUAUCUUUGGAGUGUUUAUAGAAAGUUUAUGGGAUUUCUGUCACCAGCGGGAGUAUUGAGGUUGAACCCGGAUCAAAAUCAAGGCAUUAAUCGCUAAUGAGGAAAACAUUCGUCAUAGGAAUAUCCGUGAAGUACAGCAAUGAACCGGGGCUGAGUUAGCCGCCCUGAACAGAUUUCAUCUCGCCAAAUCAUGCGGACUAAGUGCCUAUCGUUCUUCAAAAUCCUGAGAAAGAGUCCAGACACUUUUAAUGGAGUGAGGAAUCUGAAUAAUGCGUUCCGACAGCUGAAAGAAAUAUCUCGGGCCCCGCCUUAUACUCGGUCUGCCCACCGCCGACGAAGAUCUCUAUGUGUAUUAUCUGACCCGCCACCGCAAAUAAGUGCAGUACAAUUCUGAGAGAAGGUAAAAUCCAAAAAAAACCAUUAUAUUACGUUAGCAAAACUUAAUUGGUGUAGAGCCAGAUAUCCGAGGAUUGAAUAAAGAUCGCCUAUCUCUAUGAUCGCCCGCCAGAAACUUCGUCAUUACUCCAGGCCCAUUCCAUCAAGUGUUGACGAUCAACCACUAAAGCAAGAAAUUUUUCCUCCAACUGAUGGACACGUUGCGGGUAGGAUCCUUGAAAUGGUCCAUCGAGCUAAGUGAGUUCAACAUGAGUACAGCCACGAACGGCAAUAAAAGCCAGCCCUGGCUGAUUUUAUGUCGAUAAAUCCACCCAUGAGAAACUCCACAAUCAGAGACUCCUUCGUUGAGUGCGGGAAUUCCUAAAGAACCAACCUAGAAAAAAGACCUCACCCACUGGAUAUGUCAUUGAUGGCUCUUCUAAACCAGCACGGUGCGGUGCAGGCUCGUCAUCGAGUCCAUCAGGGCGAACAGAUGGAGUACGCCUAAGAAUGGGCGUUUAAAGCACCAACAAUGAAGCCGAGUAGCAAGCCCUCCUCGUCGGACAGUAAGAGUCGCAACAGAGUUGGGAGGCACAUCUUUGGAAGUCUUCAGUGACUGUCACAAUGGUGGUAAAACAAAGGUCCAAGGAGACUUACCUCGUGCAAGGAGCAACAAGAUGUGGAUAGCUUAUUUAGGCGAGGUGAGGCUAUGUCCGCAAAGACAAGGAGUUAAGAUCCACCAGAUUCCGAGACGAUACUAAAAAGGCAGAUGCCUUGGAUAAUCUGGCGUUAACUUUGGAGUUUAUUUCAACAGGUGCAUACUAUGGAAUUUUUAAGCCAGACCAGCAUUCGAAUCGCUAAUCAGGUCAUCCAAGCGGAAGAAAGUCGUGGGGAUGGACGAAAUUAUGCCUAUCUCCAGGAGGUAUCUUGGCCAAAAGAAAAACUCCAGCCGUCGUCUCUAUACAGAUUCUCGCUAUAUUUUGCAUAUUCAACGGAAAUUGUUAAGCAAAAGGUUUUCUCCUCGGGACCCCUCUUGAAAUGUCCUCCGACCAUAAGAAGCAGAGUACGUCUAAAAGAAAUACAUGAGGGCAUCUGGGGCGGGAAACCACUGCCGACAAGGUCGUUAGCUAAGGAAGACAUUCGCCAGGAUAUUUUUGGCCGCUCAUGGAAUGAAUAUGUGGCUACAUAUGUUAAAGAGAUGCGACAAAUGUCAGAGAUUUGCUCCCGUCAUCCAUCUCCCCCACACUGAGAUGGUACGAUGUCAGGCCCCCUUUGCCAUUCUCCCAAUGGGGAAAACAUAACAUACUAACUGGGUCCCCUCCGCGAGCUCCCAUUGCAAAAAAAUUUUUGCAUCGUCGCCAUUAGACUAUUUUACCAAAUGGUAGAAGCCCAACCUCUCGCCAAAAUUACUGAGAAAAAUACCCUAGAAUUUCUAUGAAAACAAACAUCUUGGUGUAGAUACGUAAUCCCAAAGGUAAUCAUCUCGGACAACGCAAGGCAUUUGACAACCGACAGGUUCAUGUUAUUCUCUCGGAUCUCGCCAUCUCCACAUUUCUCUUCACCUCACCCGGUCAUCCGUAGGCUAACGGACAAUUGAAGUAACUAAUGUACCCAUCCUCAGGAUUGAAGGGCGAGGUUAGAAAGAUCAAAAAAGGCGAAUGGCGGAAGACUUACAAGCAUCUCUGGGCUUAUCAUACUACUGUUCGGAUUUCUACAGUGAAACUCCAGACUCCAUGGUCUUCGGAGCUUAAGCAGUCAUACCAGUGGAAUAGGUAAUGCCACUUCAGAACGUUAAACUUUUUGACCAAUGGCCAUCUAGGGGCGAGCCUCAGGGCUCACCUUGAUCUCCUCGAAGAAAAGAGAGAGCGCCGAAUUCUCCAAGCGGCUUAAUAAAAGUCGGACGCCAAAUACUAACUGACACCACAAAGAGUACGCCACGCUCGUAUCCUCUUGGCCUGGUCUUGCGAAGGGUAACCCUAUCCACAAGAGAUCCAACGCGCAGGAAGCUCGGUCCAACAUGGGCAAGGCACUUACAAAGUUAUCAAAGUUUCCAUGCCAGGGACUUGUUUGGCUGAGAUUCUAAAACGGGAAAAGCAACUUCCACAUCCUGGAACCCGACAUUGAAGAAUAUUAUCAAAGUUUUAAAAGGGAAAUUUGAUCCAGUGAUUCUGUUAUUUUUGCGAUUUUAUAUUAUAAUUGGAAAAUUUUUAUGAUUCGCCUAUGGUUCACCUCACCAGUUAUUAAAAGAAUUUAUGUCGCCAAAUUAAAUCGCCGUUUCAUCCAUUAAAGGUAGGCGUCUUGAAUCAUCGUUAUUUAUGUCGCCAAACUCAGGAUACACUCAUUCGUUGUCUAAACGAUAAGGCGCCCUGAUCGCCAUAAACAAAUGUUGCCAAAAUCGUAUUCGCCACUCCCUUAACAAUGGUAAUUUGAAUCGCACUGGACUUAUCGCCUCAUAGCCGUUCGCCCUAGACGGAUGAGAGUUUAAUUUACUUGUAACAAAAAUAACCAAACUAUAUAACCUCACCAAAAAACAAUACGUCCGGUGAGAUUCAUUCAUAAUACUGAUUAACAUUUUGUUUUGAAGCCUUCGCCUAAGCGCUGGCCAAAAAAAAAAAAAUAUUUAUACAUUAGGAGCACUCCUGCACAGAUUUCUUGUCUCCUUCUUUCAAUCGCCCUCUCUUCCCCUCGGCAAAACUUGGGUCCAUCGCCAUAUUCGCCCACGUCUCACCGAGGUUUGGGAAACUUUGAUGGAGAAGCUGCCUUUUUCUAGAACUCAAUCCCUCGCGACAGUAAUGUUUUUUUUGUUUUUUUGCAAAAGAAAUAAAAAGCAACAAGGGAGCAAGGAAAGUGAAAUUGAGUGGGGUGGGAGAGCAGUGGGAAACCCUCCUCUUUCCCCCCCCGCCAUGGUGGCCGAUCCAGCCUGAAUUCCCCCUAGGCUAUUUGAAGUCCUCGAUGGCUAGCUUCCUUGCCUUCGCCAGUUUAUUUGUGAGUUCCUCCACGACGGCCUUCAAGAUCAUCCACCCUCGUGCUAGGCUUUGAAUCCAAUGCCUUCCUCGCUUGAGCUUCGGCCAACCGAUUUUCCGCCUUAACACUCGCUUUUGAGCUUUAAAAAAAACCAAUUUCAAGCUCGGCGGAAUCUGCGCUGCCAUAUGAAGUCUAGUCGUGGAAUGCUCCUGGCUACGGAGGGCAGAGAAGAGUCGAACUGACCAACUUCCAAAUACACUUAGUAUUUGUUAAAAGAAACAACGCCAAGUUUUUCCCUCCACAAAUACCCUGACCCAAGGCAUGGAAAGAUUUGGCGACCAAUUCAUUCUCGAUAGUCCAUCAACCUCUUUAUUUUCGAAGCCGGAAUCACCCCAGUGAGCACCUCCGACCAUAUAAGCAUCCGACAUAGAUUGGGAAUCCUAUAUCGCCACCAGGGGAAAGGUCCCCGCCUCAGCGGCACGCCCCCUGGCAUUGAUCGCCCCUCGGUUGGAUUUUUAAUCUUUUAGGCAGCGAUGGGGCUGCGUGCGGCUCUUUUUCCCUUCGAAGAGUCCGUCUCGCCUAUUCGUUACGAGGUCGCCUUCCCGCGUAUGUUCAUUUCUCCCGAAUCACGACUCCUUUGGUGGGAGCUUGGCGUCGUCAGCCUUUACACAGCUUCUCGGCCUUGGCCUUUCCUCCUGUUUUUUCCCCAAGCGGGGGCACCAGCUCGAGCCGAUAUAGCUGCACAUGGGAUGUCAAUAAGAAGAAAACAGUAAACAAUUUUUUCUAGAAUAUACCAUCAGAUUUGAGCUCGAGGGGUAGCUCGGAAUCUAAAUGAAUCCGACCCCGAAUCCGACUAGACCGGACGUCCCAGAUAGAGAUCCCGUAAACAGGCCCUUUCCCUUCCCCCUAGCACCUAAAAGGGUGUUUCCAUCGGGGAUACCAGGCAGGGCUCUCUAAUCACCCUUCCGAUACCCCGUCCUAUGACUCCCAGAUAUAGACCGAAUCUUCGCGGAACCGACUCACCCGAUUCGUGUUGUCUCCGCCACUGGUGAAAGCGCCGUGGCAACAACCGCGAAUUUUCUUGAAGGUUCGCGAACCCAGAACCUCGAAACCUCUAAGUAGCCUCUGGCUCUAUCUCCCGAAGAUCGCCCUCCGUCCUCUUGGCGUCAACCUCGGACAGGUCCGGCACUUGGUUGGCACUUUUCCCUGAAAAUCGCAUGUCAGGCGACUAUAAUGGCUCACAAUCAAAAACAAUAGGAACUACCUGGGUUCCCCAAUAUCUGGGGAUCGCGGGUACUAUCGCUGACGGCCGUGCCCGAGGGGAUCUCCCACUCAUCCCCUAGGGUAAAAAAGAACCUCGUCUUCCACCCCUUUACUUGCUCUGAAGAUCCUCGGAGCAGUUCUUCUCAAGCCCGCCUUAAAGUAGUACCACCCCAAUUCGGGUAGGAUCUGAGGGAGUAUAAGCACCUCAAUUCGUCACAGGACAUGUGAUGUUUGAAGUGCGCCAGAUCACUAGUGAAAGUGACUGAUCGCCAUGCGUUGGAGAUCACUGGGCGUGCAAAUUCUUGUAAUGAAUCAAAAUUUCCCAUAAUGGUCGGAUGAAGGGAAGGCCUUAAGCCGUCUAGAAAAGCGGCUCGUAAAAUCUACCUCGCCUUGGCGGCUGAUAAAUUGUCUCGCCAUCCCCAGAAUCUAAAGUCGUACCCCUGGGGAAAUAAACACGUCACUCCGAGAUUGGCCAUUUCAGCCUUGGCACAUGAUGUUAUUCUCCUUAUUGCGACUCGAGGUGUCCAUCUUUGGGAAAUUUGUUAUUAUUGAUGGAAACGACGGAGACUGGCUCGUUUCGUCGAUAUAAGACUGUCGCCCCUAGAUGGAUCGAUAUCCAAGAAGGCAGGGUUGCUCAAUUCUUCGCCUACGAGGGUUGGUCUGUGAGAACGUAACGGGACAGUCGACCUGUUUACACGAGAUGCAGUUUACAAACGGAGCGCACUUCGACAGCAACAGAAUGUGCGAAUGAAUAGGUUAACCCCCAUUUAUAUACACACGGGGAGGGCUUUGGAUCGAUCAGGCCCAACGGCCCAAAUCACGCGACUGUUCGAUUUCCGAAUGUAAAAACUGUCGUUCCCGCCAUUAGACCAUUUUCCCGCCGACUCAACCUUUCUGCAUUUACGUUCCCGUCCACGUGCCCUUAGAGUGAGUCCGUUGACAAAAACUCCACCUGGCCAGACCAUCAUUGCACAAACACGUCAACAUUGGUCAUGCGAACAGGCUGUGAUUCUCUGUGAUUAGAAACCAUCUUGAUGAAUGCCUACGUCGCUAUCGCGCAUUAAAAUUGUAACAUAUCUUACCCGGUAAAUCUGAUUACCUCUUAUUGCGGCUGAAGCUACUUGCUCACCCAAACGUGUUGCCUCGUGAACUACAAGUCCAACCAUGCCGCCCAAAUCUUAUAUCGCCCAAGGGUAAGAAGGUCCUAGUCGCCAGUUCGUUACAAACUACUUGAGGAAUCUUGAUCACCGUUACAGACUCGCCAUUAUGAGAGCGCCCAUUCAUUCCGCUAAGGAUCUUCAUCGCUAGUCGACGAUUUCGCCUAUAUAUCUCGUCGCCCAAAGCUUAUAUUGUUUAAGGUGUGAACGUUUUGAUCGCCCAUUUUCACCAUGAAUACGUAAUGCAUUAAGAUAAACGCAUCAUGCCAAAGUAAUUCAAGUCAAAAGGAAAAACGAAACAUAAGUUAGGAGAGAAUCAGCUUUUUAUUUAUCAUCGAAAGAUCCGGAUACAAAAUAACAAAAAAAAAAAAAUCCCAAGGGGAAUCCUUAAACAAACAGCUUCGCAAAAAAAAAAAAAAAAAAAAAAAAAAAAAAAAAAAAAAAAAAAAAAAAAAAAAAAAAAAAAAAAAAAAAAAAAAAAAAAAAAAAAAAAAAAAAAAAAAAAAAAAAUAACCCCCUCUACCCGGCUGCCCCUUUCUUCGGCCGCUCUUUUCUCCUGCUUCAGCCCCCUCUUUGGCGAGGAAUUCAUGGUCCAUCUCGCCGUCCUCCAGAUCGCGGCCAAGGUCAGGAACUGGGGCGCGAGCUGCCUCUUGCAGAAGUCAAAACCAUCGCCGAAAUAAGAGGAUGCCAGAAACCCCCCCUCCCGCUUCUAAAAAGUCAUCCACUCUUUGAACGUGGCGAUGAUCCUACCUUUCGUGAGAGACUGGCUUUUUUCCACGCCGGAGAUCUCGCCUCUAGCCUCGCGAUGACCUUGCCUCUGGCCUCGGCAUCUCAGCGAGCUUCUCCCUCGCCUUCUCCUCAGCCAAAGGCACCCUCGAAUUCAAUGCCCUAUUUGGCGCUCGAAACCAUUUUCCAUUUCGGCAAUUCAGCGACAGCCUUUUUGAUUGAGAGUGCACUCGCGAAAUCCCUGCUGCGAACGCUAGAGAAGACACCCCUAAGAUAACCCCCUGCUCAAACAGACUCGAAAUUACCGCACUGAAUAGAAUUGACAACACCUUUAGGGAAAAACAAAUACCUGGCCGAUCACAUGGAGAAACUUUGUCACCACCUGAUCGAAGGUGAGCCUAUCCACCUUCUCCUUAUCCGCCGGAGUAUCACCCCGGCCAGAAUUUUUUUCUGCUGUGGCGCACUGGCCAUCACUGAGCCUGUUGGCCCAAGUCUUCGCCAAGAGUUCGUCUGGCGCGAACUACCCUCUACGGAGCUGGGCGGCCUCACGGGAGCUUCAGACGUUCCGAGUAUCGAUUUUAGCCUCCUUUGACACUGGCAAUUGGGCGACCUUCUUUCCCUUGGACCCAUCGUCCAAGUCCUUUUACCGGUGUGGUCUCUUACCCUUCCGAGAUAACACGCCCUUGAAGCGGAGGUGGCGGGCCCUUGAGCACAACCUUGGCGAGGUCACUGAGCUUGAGUCCUUACCCUGCCGCUCACUGAUUAACAAGGCAUCCUAGAAGGGAGACGUCGGAAGCAGGUUCAGUAAUAUAAAUCGUGAGGUCAAAAAUUGCCGAAGGACAGGAGAGCCCCCUAUAUAUAGAGAGAAUCACGUUCCAAUCUACUCAGAAUAUGUUGCGAUGUGGGACGCUUCGACCAGAGUUCCGCAUUUAAGGCCUCCUUGCCACUGGGCUCCAUCGAUGUUGCCACCAUCAUUCAAGGUCACGUCAUCAGAAGAAUUACGUUUACUCGAAGUCCCAACUAUUCCACUCGACACUUCUAGUAAUGGGGCUACCUUUUUGAUGUGGGGUAAAAUAUUCACAUAUU